GUGAACGCUGGCGGUAGGCCCAACACAUGCAAGUCGCACGGCAGCACAGUAAGAGCUUGCUCUUACGGGUGGCGAGUGGCGGACGGGUGAGGAAUACAUCGGAAUCUACUUUUUCGUGGGGGAUAACGUAGGGAAACUUACGCUAAUACCGCAUACGACCUACGGGUGAAAGCAGGGGAUCUUCGGACCUUGCGCGAUUGAAUGAGCCGAUGUCGGAUUAGCUAGUUGGCGGGGUAAAGGCCCACCAAGGCGACGAUCCGUAGCUGGUCUGAGAGGAUGAUCAGCCACACUGGAACUGAGACACGGUCCAGACUCCUACGGGAGGCAGCAGUGGGGAAUAUUGGACAAUGGGCGCAAGCCUGAUCCAGCCAUACCGCGUGGGUGAAGAAGGCCUUCGGGUUGUAAAGCCCUUUUGUUGGGAAAGAAAAGCAGCAGGUUAAUACCCCGCUGUUCUGACGGUACCCAAAGAAUAAGCACCGGCUAACUUCGUG
rnacentral:rRNA from 1 species